UAAUACGGAGGGGGCUAGCGUUGUUCGGAAUUACUGGGCGUAAAGCGCACGUAGGCGGCUUUGUAAGUCAGAGGUGAAAGCCCGGAGCUCAACUCCGGAAUUGCCUUUGAGACUGCAUCGCUUGAAUCCGGGAGAGGUGAGUGGAAUUCCGAGUGUAGAGGUGAAAUUCGUAGAUAUUCGGAAGAACACCAGUGGCGAAGGCGGCUCACUGGACCGGUAUUGACGCUGAGGUGCGAAAGCGUGGGGAGCAAACAGG
rnacentral:rRNA from 1 species